GAUGAACGCUGGCGGCGUGCCUAAUACAUGCAAGUCGAGCGAACGGACGAGAAGCUUGCUUCUCUGAUGUUAGCGGCGGACGGGUGAGUAACACGUGGAUAACCUACCUAUAAGACUGGGAUAACUUCGGGAAACCGGAGCUAAUACCGGAUGAUAUUUUGAACCGCAUGGUUCAAAAGUGAAAGACGGUCUUGCUGUCACUUAUAGAUGGAUCCGCGCUGCAUUAGCUAGUUGGUAAGGUAACGGCUUACCAAGGCAACGAUGCAUAGCCGACCCGAGAGGGUGAUCGGCCACACUGGAACUGAGACACGGUCCAGGCUCCUACGGGAGGCAGCAGUAGGGAAUCUUCCGCAAUGGGCGAAAGCCUGACGGAGCAACGCCGCGUGAGGGAUGAAAGUCUUCGGAUCGUAAAACUCUGUUAUUAGGGAAGAACAUAUGUGUAAGUAACUGUGCACAUCUUGACGGUACCUAAUCAGAAAGCCACGGCUAACUACGUG
rnacentral:rRNA from 1 species